CUGGCCAACGAGAUGGCAGCACAUCGGUCUCCAAAACCGAGAGUCUAGGUUCAAAUCCUAGUGCCCCUGCCA
rnacentral:tRNA from 1 species